GGUGGCUGCCAGAGGGCAGGCAGGCCUAGGGCUGGGGGCAGGCCAGCGGGUGGGAUGAAGGUGACCACCAGAGCCAGGAUGGUGUCUAGCAAAUGGCAGUCU